UAGGAUUUUUAAGGCACUAUCAACUUUAAAUUGGUCCCGAGAUUGGAAAGUACACUCUUUCAUAGAGCCCAGUUAUUAUCAUUGAGCUGUGCUUAAGAGAAAACAGGGUUGUCAACAUUAGGGGAAUAAAAUCAGUGUCUUAGUAAACACAGAACUUUCAAAACACCCAGCUUUAGCAGGCACCAUCUGAAUAAUUUAAGCAUUUUCACAUCAAAAUCGUUUAGUUAUUUAGAAAAUCAUAAAGAUUAUUAACAAUUCAUAGUUUAAUAUAAUGUAGAAAAGACAACCAGUGAGUAUAGCAAGAGAUGAUGAGAACAAGUGCACUUCUGUCAGAUUGAUAGAUGGCAUCAAAAUCAGAAUUGCCUGUUAGAUGGAGAGAGUUCAAUGAAAUUGAAUUCAAGUUCUAGGUGUUUGUGUUUCUCUUUGCUGGAGGUGGCUCUUUAAGCAUGUCACUGUGAAGUCUGUCCAACACCCCAUCAGCAGAUAGAGCUUUCAGUAAUGCUAACUCAGUAGUUUCAUCAGUGUGAUCUUUGUAUUUUUAGGAAAUGAAUGUCAUAUACCACAUUUCUCUUAAAAGAUUUGGAUAAAUAAAAUAAACAUAAGCCAAUACAACAUUUAUUCUGUGUUAAUAGUAUAUAUAUUAAUUCAGGUUGAAAUCUUUUUUUCUACAGAGUAUUAUUUCUUUAAUAUUAGCAUCUGAUCCACAGUAAUAUAGUACUAAUUUUAAUGAGAAAUACAAAAUGGAACUUUUACUUUCAUAAUAGCUCAUGAUGCACUUAACAUUUUUAUAGACAAAGAACUACUAUAAAUAUGUAACAUUGUGCAGGCUAUUUUUUUGCACCUGUUUACAAAUCAGAACGAAUAUACUGUUUAACUAUUAAGAAACUGAAUGCUGUCAAACUGCCUCUGUAUUUAUAUGACCACCUUCCCACAUCAGACAGAAUUUAUCCCUUUCUCUUUAUUCUCCCCUCUCUGGCACUUAUAAUGCUGCAUUACCUGUGGCUCUCGGCCUUACCCCAUCCCAAUUUCCGUUGCUGCUGCUCCCUGGGUUGAGUUCUUGGAGGGCAGGGAGGCUGUCCCCUUUAUCAAACAGUGUUUGGCAUGUGUUAUACCCAACACAUGUUGAAUCAAAUUGAAUUUAAUCAGGACAUCUAAGUUUUAUGUAGCUUCCUUGUGUUAAAUAUUUG